UUAUAGCAAAAGCAGCCAUGUCAGUCACUUAAUGUUUCUUAAGAAUCCCUGUCUUUGUCCAUUUUGUUUUGCUAUUAAAAGAAAAAAAAAAACCUGCCACUGGAUAAUUUAUAAAGAAAAGAGGUUUAUUUAGUUCAGGGUUCUGCAGGCUGAGAAGUUCAAGGGCAUGGCCCUGGCUUCUGGCGAGGGCUUUCCUGCUGCAUUGACACAGGGAGAAAGGUCAAAGGGGAAGUGAAUAUGUGCGGAGAGGGGGAAUCCUGAGGGGUCUCCAGCUAUAUAACAACCCACUCUCAUGGGAACAAAUCCACUCCUGUAAGAACAGCUCACUACUGCCUGAACAGCACCACAUCAUUCAUGCGAGAUCCCUCCCCAUGACCCAAACACCUCCUGCCAGGCCCCACCUCCCAACAUCACCACACCGGGGAUCAAAUUUCAACUUGAGUUUUGGUGGGGACAAACAAACCACAUCCAAACCACUGCAAAUCCCAUACAUACCAGGGCUCCACUCCAGACCCACUGAAUUGAAUCCUUUGGGGAUGGUGCCUGAAAAAAAUAUAUUUUAAACACCCAAGGGGUUCUGACACUUGGUUGAGUUUGGGAUCUUCUGGACUGGAAGGAACUCUCAGGCUUUGAGUGGAGACCUUGGAUCUGUUCCAGGUUUUGCCAAUAACUUUCUGUUGUCCCUGCGUGACUUUGGGCACGUCACUUUCCUGUGUACUGUCUCUAAGAAUGUUGGAUUCUGAUAAGUCAAUUCCCACUUGUGUCCCUGGAGCCCUAGGGUUUCCUCGGAGGCUCCAGAAGUUUCUAAGGGGUCAGUAGAAUGAAGACAGUAGGUUGGGCUCUGGAUUCCCUGCCUCGAGAGUUAAUCCUAGGAGCUGCUAAAGGUCUAUUUACAAAGCUUCACAUGAAGCCAGAUCAACAUCUGGGAACAUCUGCCUGGGAUGCAGGACAUGGGCAGCCCCAGAACUAGUUUCAGGUGGCUUACAUGGGCAUGGUUAUUGCAGAAAUCACAUUUUAAAAGUGUUAAUCUCAUCAAGAGACUUGGACUGUGGCAUCUUUAUUUCUGUGAGUUGUGACUUUCUCGUCCUUGGAAGUAAGGAGUGAACUAGACUCCACAAACGAGUUUAACAUUUUGCCCUUCUAAUUGUCUACACCAAAUCCAUGCCUCCCUCCCCUGUGAGCAGACUUUGGUAGAAUGUUCCUCAUGCCUUCAACCAGGGUGAGCCAGACGAGCCCCGGGGAACACGAUGCAUGACCUUGGCCUUGUUACCAUGUGCAAUGUAUUGAAUUGCAGACCUCCAAAAUUUAUAUAUUGAAGCCCUAGUCCCAGUAUGACUGUACUUGGAGAGCCUUUAUGGAGGUGACUAAGGUUAAGUGAGGUCAUAAAGGCGGAGUUCUAAUUUAAUAGGAUUGGCGCCCUUAUAAGAAGAGGAAGAGAGAGAUCGCUUUCCACUGAAAUGUACCGAGGAAAGGCUAUGUGAGGACAUAGCCCAGAAGAGGCCCUCACCAGAGCCCAGCUAUGCUGGCACCCUGACCUCCUGCUCCAGCCUCCAGACUGUGAGGAAAUACGUUUCCAUGGUUGAAGCCACCCAGUCUAUGGUAUUUUGUUGUGGCUGCCUGAGCUAAGACACCAUCACACAAUGACCAGGGAGGCUCUUUGGCCGUGGUCAGCAGAGGCAGCUGUGCCACUGCCUGUGGGUGCCACGCCUGCCUCACAGCAGCAACUUCCUCAUAAGAAAGUCUCUGCUGUUAUUUAGAUGUGUGUCUUGUCUCCCAGACUCAGAUACAAGCCCAUCAAGGCAGUGAGGUUGACAUCUUUUUUUCUGACUUGUCUGCAAACCCGUCAUGAGGAUUGUUGCACAGUCAUGUUUGGGUAAUGCCACGUACAGUCUUUCCUUCUUAGGCAAUUAUAUUAGCAGUUAAAGGCUCUGAGAAGUUUUGCAAUGAAGAUGCUGUCAUAAGUUUGUCUAAUUCAGCAUUUGACAACAGAACUGAUUUUCCUAGCAACAUUUUGGUCCAGAGAGAAGGUGAUGCAAGAUGCAGAAAUGACUGAGAGUAUGGUGAGCACUUGUUCACUACGCCAGAAAUAAAAGAUCAUUGAAGUGAGAUUGAUUAAAACUACAAUCAAUAAAAGAUCAUUGAAGUGAAAUUGAUUAAAACUACAAUCAUUGUCAAAUAACCACAUUUAACUCCUCUCUUAAAACUUGUCACUUAAGACACUCUGUUAACUAAAUCUCUUUAAAGUAUUAAAUCAUGUCAUUGUUCGUAUGUAAAUGUAUUUCCAUUUGUAGGAUUAGCAGAUAAAACACCAAUUCUUAUUUCUACUUAAUCUCAUAUUCUGUAUUCCCCAAAUUUACAAAGAUA
rnacentral:lncRNA from 1 species